rnacentral:lncRNA from 1 species
UAUCUUUUAAGUCUAAGUUAAAGGUUUUUCGGACUUUAAUCGAAAGUUAUAGAUCUAUUUCGUUAGGCAGAUUAUUCUACACAAACUAGAUGUGUUUUUUUUUUUUUUGGGUUUAGCCUCGUUUCAUCUUUCCAUGAAUAUACUAAUAUAGCAUGCAGGCAUGAUCCUUGAAACAACUUUGAGCUUUGGAUUUUUCCUGACAACUUUAUUACUCAAGAUCAUGGCCUGAUUCGGCCAAUAACUUGAAUAGAUUGCAUUGAUUUCAUGAUCUUAACAUUCACUCCGAGAUUAACCUUUUUAACGACAAGAACACACACAAGGGCCUGGACUGGUAUUGCCCCGUUAAUUACGAUGAUCACAUCACACGAAACAAAAGUCGAACAUGUAGAAGACGACAGGCUACAUAGCUUCUGGCUUAUACCUCUGGUUCUAAUCUAGAAAAAGCCGAUGGCUUUUUACCCCAAAUCAGACCCAUUAAUACGUAGUCAAUGACGUUAAUGGCUUGCAGCCAAGAAACCACCUGUGAAUCUCGAAUCUCGAUCACAUGCGCACAUCUUUCUUAAUCUUUUCAUUAACUAAGAUAAUUUGCUUUCGCCUGAGGAAUUCAAUUCUGACAGACUAAUCAUGAACCUGCAUAUAUUUUAUAGAAGCAGUGGUGAAAGGGGCUUUACCGGCGAGAAUCCCUUUUGGUGCUAAUGAUCAUUAGAUUCCCUCCAUUAGAUUUCUUGGGGCCACUGUUGGUCUGUCAGUAAUGAACUGGGUUAAGAAGGGGUGGCGCAAAAAAAUGAAUCCGCCAUGGUUGAGGGCAAGUUGACUCUUGGUGAAAGGUUGCAACUUUUCUUCUUUACAAUCCUUGUUUCCUAACGAGGAAGGACAUAGUUUAUUCAGGUAAUGGCCACUAGUGUCACAUAUGCAUCAUAUGCAGGAACAAUGUACUUGAAAAUG